GACGUAGGGCGCGAGCGUUGUCCGGAUUUAUUGGGCGUAAAGAGCUCGUAGGCGGCUUGUCGCGUCGUCCGUGAAAACUUGGGGCUCAACCCCAAGCUUGCGGUCGAUACGGGCAGGCUAGAGUUCGGUAGGGGAGACUGGAAUUCCUGGUGUAGCGGUGAAAUGCGCAGAUAUCAGGAGGAACACCGGUGGCGAAGGCGGGUCUCUGGGCAGUAACUGACGCUGAGGAGCGAAAGCGUGGGGAGCGAACAGG
rnacentral:rRNA from 1 species